AACAUGUGCACUGGUAAAAACCACCUUUUUUCCAGUAAUUAUAAAUAAUCCAAUUUUUUUUUUUUAAUUAUGAUAAACAGUUGGUGUGUUUGGUUGUGAAAACAGGGGAUUGAGAUCAAUUUUAAGGUUAGUAUAUUGAUUUCUUUAUUACAUUUACUUUGUGUUUUGUUUAAUUUGAGAAUUACUAAAUCUUUUUAAGAUGAAAUCAUGAAAACAAAUAGUUUUAUAUAUGUUAAACUUGUUUGAAUAAAUUUAGGGCACAUACCAAUUGUUCGAUUUCAUAUAUACAUGUUAAAGAAGUAAUUUCCUUAUUAUCUAACCAAUUUGAUAGUCAUGUUUAACUCUAGUGAACAAGUUCUAGGUUAAAGAAGUGUCAAUAUUACACCACCCCACUUCCAUUGCAGUCCUGACUACGGUUGGUAUAAUAUCAAUAUCCCCAAAAUUGAAAAAGAAAAUAAAGAACAAUGUUAGCACCAUACAAUAAGUUAAGCAAACCACUUUAGGAAUCCAAUUUAUCUUUUUUCUUAUUGAGAACAAGGUUUCAAAUACUUUGCUUGAUUCAAAAAAACUAACGACUCCAACAUCAUUUCGCAGUUAUAAAUACAACAACAGUACCCUCCUGGGGUUGUGAUGAAUCCAAGUAUUCAUUUCUCCUUCUCGUGCUUUGACUAGCUGAGCUAUCCAAGGAGCAAUUCAGGUAUGUUUGGAAUGAAUGCUGGCAGCGUUGUUAAUUGUUCUCACUUAGUUCGGUCACACUGAAUCUACUUGGUAUACCUGAUAUAUUGCCAAUAAGAAAAUCCCUACCACUCUGUUUCCCAACCUUUGGCAAUAUAUUCUUCUACACUCUUACUAGUAUUCUAGACAAAACUUCUACUAUUUUACUUUCCGAGAUUCAUGAUCCAGUUAUAGCCCGUAGAUUAAAAUUAUCGAACCCACCUAAUUCGGCAAUCCACCCAAAUUACAAGAAAAGAAAAGGUUAAUCCAGCCCACCCCAUUAUAUUUAUGGGCACUGACGGGUUCUAUGUACCAAAUCCGUUAACUGCCCCUUCACCCGGAAAAAUUAUCUAAUACCAAUUUAACUCUUUUGCGCACCCAUUAUUUUUAUGUGUAAGUGUAAAUAGUAAUUUCCUUUCCUAACACUGAUUGAUCAAUUUGUUUAUUUGCAUUUUAUAUUUCGUGCACGUUAUAUGGAGUAUGUGAUAAUCUUAGUUUAAUAUGCACAUUAUAGCUAUGUAAAAAUUUAAUAAGACAUGAUAUUCAAUAGUAGUGAUGUAGUAGUAGUCACCAGAUACAUUUUUUAGUCAUUUUAACUUGUCAUCUUAUGUUAAUUUAAAAUUUUUUAUUUAGCACAUUUUUAAAUAAUGAGAUUUAAUUUAUCUAAAAAAUCGUUUAUGUUUUUUAAUUUCCUAGGUAAACAACAACAAGAAAAUUAGUUUAUAAGAAAAAUCAGAAAAAGUAAAAAAAAAAAAAAAAAAAAAAAAUAAUUGGAGAAAGGAGUUAUGAUGGAAAUUGUGGAAGAAUAAAACAAAAAUGAGAGAUUGAGAAGAAAGAUUACAAAACGAAAAAGAGGGCGAUUUUUCUUUCUUUUAUUUUUUUUAUUAUAAAAAUAGAUCAAGAAGAGUUUUAUUAAUUUUGGGUUUUUGACAUAGUAUGUGACUAUGUGAUGGAGUGUAAAAGGUCAUUUUAGUAACAAAUUUAUUAUUUGAUUGGGUUUUUUGAAGCAAAUUGGUCUGAUUGGGUUUUUGGCGACUUAGUUGGGUGGUAAUAAGAUCUCCUCAGAAAUACUCCACAACUUCUACUCAUGAGCAUACGGUAGAAGUGUAUAUAAAUAAAACUAGUGUUUAGGCCUGUGCAAUGCAUGGGCCGGACUUGAUUAUAUUAGGGAUUAGGUCCACUUUAAGUUGUUGGAUUGGGCUUGAUUAUGCCUGUGAUUUGGUUGUUCUAUAUUGGCCUUAAAACGCCCCGGCUAAGCCUUGUCGAUCUUGAGGUUUUAGAUUCCAAAACAAGUGGGUUUCGUCCAUAAACCUCGUUUUAACUGACGGAACGUUGUUUUUCGCCUUAGAACUCCCCGAGUUAAGCUAUUGAGUGGCUAGUCUCUUAGAUGUUAUUGUUUUCCAUGCGGAAACAUGUGUGUUUUGUCCACUUUUAAGUUCAGAACAAAAAUCGAGUAAAUACCAAGCCAAAUGUCCGGACAAAACCCCGUUCCCAUGGUCCAUAUGUUUUAUAUUAGCCUUAAAAGCCCCAGGUAAGCCUUGUCAAUCUUGACUUUUAGAUUCCAACACAAGUGGGUUUCGUCCAUUUCCAAGUUCGGACAAAAAACUGAGUAAAUACCCAUCAAACCGAUGGAUAUAAUCAAUUGGAAUUGAUUAUUUCCGUGAUGGGUGGUCCACUUUUGCGUAAUUAUAAAUAUACCCAAACUUAAUCAAAAUUCUC
rnacentral:lncRNA from 1 species